UGAAAAGCACUUCGAACAGAAGAGUGAAAUAGUCCCUGAACCCAUACGCCUACAAGCAGUCGGAGCCGCUUCGUGCGGUGACGGCGUGCCUUUUGCAUAAUGAGCCUACGAGUUACUCAUCACCAGCGAGGUUAAGUACUUCAGGUACGUAAGCCGAAGCGAAAGCGAGUCUGAAUAGGGCGUCAAGUUGGUGGUGGUAGACGCGAAACCUUAGUGAUCUACCCAUGGGCAGGGUGAAGGUUUGGUAACACAAACUGGAGGCCCGAACCGGUAAACGUUGAAAAGUUUUCGGAUGACCUGUGGGUAGGGGUGAAAGGCCAAUCAAACUGGGAAAUAGCUCGUACUCUCCGAAAUGCAUUUAGGUGCAGCCUCUGUUGUUUUGUUCUAGAGGUAGAGCUACUGAUUGGAUGCGAGGGCUUCACCGCCUAUCAAAUCCGGCCAAACUCCGAAUGCUAGAACAUGAAGACAGGGAGUGAGCCAGCGGGUGCUAAGGUCCGUUGACGAAAGAGGGAGAACUCAGACCAUCAGCUAAGGUCCCCAAUUAUAUGCUAAGUUGGAAUAAAAACGGGGUGGGACUGCUUAGACAGCUAGGAUGUUGGCUUGGAAGCAGCCAUUCAUUUAAAGAGUGCGUAACAGCUCACUAGUCGAGCGGUCCUGCAUGGAUAAUACGCGGGCAUAAGCAUAUAACCGAAGCUAUGGGAUUGUAGAUGAUACAAUCGGUAGGAGAGCAUUCCAUUCAGCAUAGAAGCAGUAUCGUGAGGUAUUGUGGAGCGGAUGGAAAAGCAAAUGUAGGCAUAAGUAACGAUAAUGCGGGUGAGAACCCCGCACGCCGAAAGAUCAAGGAUUCCCCGGCAAUGUCAAUCAUCCGGGGGUAAGUCGGAUCCUAAGGGUAAGCCGAGUGGCGAUCCCGAUGGUAAACAGGUUAAUAUUCCUGUACUGAUCAUAACUGCGAUGCAGCGACGCAGAGGUGACACUGCUGCGUACUGACGGAAUAGUACGUUGAAACCCGUAUUCUUUGAUACCGGUAGUGAAGCACGCCGGUAGAGAUGAAAGGUGAUAGUACCGCAAUGCUUCGGUUGCGCGGAUAAUGCAGGUAAGCUGACUGCCAAGAAAACCUGCUAAGCUUCAGGUAAUGAUCAUCCGUACUGUAAACGGACACACGUGAUCAGGUAGAAAAUACUAAGGCGCUCGAGAGAUUCAUGGUUAAGGAACUAGGCAAAAUGGUCCUGUAACUUCGGGAUAAAGGACGCUCUUGUGAAAGAGCCGCAGAUAAUAGGCCCAGGCGACUGUUUACCAAAAACACAUGGCUAUGCUAAUUCGCAAGAAGAUGUAUAUGGCCUGACACCUGCCCGGUGCCGGAAGGUUAAGAGGAGAGCUCAGAGGUAACUCGAAGGUUUGAAUUGAAGCCCCGGUAAACGGCGGCCGUAACUAUAACGGUCCUAAGGUAGCGAAAUUCCUUGUCGGGUAAGUUCCGACCUGCACGAAUGGUGUAACGAUCUGGGUACUGUCUCAACCAUGAGCUCGGUGAAAUUGUAGUUCCGGUGAAGAUGCCGGAUACCCGCAACGGGACGGAAAGACCCCGUGAACCUUUACUGCAGCUUUGCAUUGAUUUUGGGUAACAGAUGUGUAGGAUAGGUCGGAGGCUUUGAUGCUGCGUCGUCAGGCGUAGAGUAGCCGUCGUUGAAAUACGACCCUUUUGUUAUCUGAGGUCUAACCCGUUAGGGAGACAUUGCAUGGUGGGUAGUUUGACUGGGGUGGUCGCCUCCAAAAGUGUAACGGAGGCUUCUCAAGGUACCCUCAAGGCGUUUGGUAAUCGUCUGCAGAGUGCAAUGGCAUAAGGGUGCUUGACUGUGAGACCGACACGUCGAUCAGGUUGGAAACAAGAGCAUAGUGAUCCGGUGGUUCCGCAUGGAAGGGCCAUCG
rnacentral:rRNA from 1 species